UGUGCAAAGGUAGCAUAACUCAUUAGUCUUUUAAUUUAGGACUGGAAUGAAUGGUUUAGCUAAAUAUUCAUGUCUCAUUAUUAUAUUUCAAAUUUUAUNUUUUAGUAAAAAAGCUAAAAUUUAUAUUAAAGACAAGAAGGCCCUAUUAAGCUUUAUAAUUGCAAUUUAAUAUCAGUAUAAAUUAAAAAUUAUUUUACUGGGGCAGUAGAUAAAUUAAAUUUUAUUUUAGUAAUGUGAGCCAAUUCUUAAAAAAUCAAGAAAUUUUUAAAAAGGAAUAAGUUACUAUAGGGAUAACAGCAUUAUUUUCUUAAAGAGUUCUUAUCCUCAAGAAAGUUUGUGACCUCGAUGUUGGAUUAAGAUACCUUUUUUGUGCAAUAACAAAAUUAAGG
rnacentral:rRNA from 1 species